AGUGGAAACGUUUCCGUUUCUCCUCUGGAUCUGACCCGAAGUCCCGGGACCCGAUGCCAUUCUGGAGAUUUAUUAGUGAAUCCUUCAUCUGCAAGACAAGAAACGUCUCCAAUGUGCUGCUACCCUGAAGGAUUCUCUCCUUGACUUGUCCGGACUCCCGUGAGGUGACAGAGAAUCCACGUUACCAUCUGAACAGCCCUUGGGACUUGAUGCCCGGCCCACUGUCAGAAGGCAGACAUAAAGGGAGAUGGGAGCAGAGGGGAUGCACCUGAUGGGCUGCAGUGGUCCAGAAGAGCAGUAGUGCAUUGGAGCUGAUUGCCUGCGUGCCGGGGUGGGCAGUGCAUUGUCACUGCCUGGGAGAUGAGUACAGCAGGACAGGCCUAAUCAAUCCUCCAGAUGCAAGCACUCAAGCCACUGAUGGGAAGAUCCCCUGGACUGGCUGCCCUGAGCUGCAGCUCAGGAGCUCAGACAGGUGAGGGCAGCGUGCCUGGAGAGUCGGUGGAGCUUGCCUGGGCCAAGGUGAAGAUAAACCUCCAUGGAGCAUAAGCAACGUGAGGAGUGUAGUGAGGAGCAGCAGCAGCAGCGAGACUCUGGGAGAUGUAUCCUCACCUUGACCCAGUCCAAGCUUCACUUACUUGCCUGGCGUGCCACAGCUACGUGGACUUGAGUAGCAACCUGUCCUGGUGAUCUUCUGCUCAGGAGCUUGAGUGCUUGGACCUGUCCUGCUCAACCAUCUCCAAACCUGGAGAUAAAAUGUCAUUGAUUUAAGCGU